AUGCGGGAGCUGGGGGAGGGCGCGCGAGGAGCGAGCCAGGAGGACCCCGAGACUUUAAGCCCACCGAGGGAGGUUAGAAGAGGGCGCAGCGGUGGUGGUAUUAGGAGACCUCCGGCGGGAAGAGAGCCGGCCGAGGUUCGCGCCUCUCACUGGCCGGGGCGCUCCAAAGGCGCCGGAUGCCUGUGCGGGAAAGGCGGGUUCGAACCCUACUCAUCACCUGGAGCGUCCGGGAGAUCGAACGCGCGGAGAGGAUGUGGGGCCGCCGCUGCCUCCGCGCGGGGUUCCGGGGAGCUUGGAAACAGCUUGCUCCGCCAGCGCCGGCAGCGCGCGCGAUGACCCCUCAAAGGCACGGCUCACCGGGGCGGCCCCCUCCCUCGUCCUCUUAACUCCACUUCCAGCUUGGGCUAGAAACAGACAUUCGCGAGACGAGAGCAGGCGCUCACCAAGGUUCGGUGGAAACUGGGACAGGAAAGCCCGUGCUGCUCGGGAGGGCGCCGCAAUGCGCGCGGGACGCAGGGCUCUGCAGCGCCGGGCGGCGCGGGCCUGCACCGGGCACCGCAGUGGUCCUGGCUCCGCGGACUGGAGUCGGUUCUCCUUCCAGCGCCAGGCGGGCAAGAGAGCCUUUUGGUGAGGACAGGCCGGGCCUCUGGCCCCAGGCUGUAAAAGGGGCUAAUGCCGGCUGACUGGCUGGCUGCACAGGCCUAUUCUGACACCGAGAAUGGUCAGACAAGGAAGGACGCGCCUCUGAAGAGAGUUUUCACCUAGGUGUGCCGUGGGACUUUGGAAAGCAAGCCUGCGGUGGCGGCGAUGCGUUCGAUUCCCGCACCUUCGCACUGUUCUGUUUUUCCGGCUUACCACCAGGAAGAGCAGUAUCCUGCCUGCCUAGAAGUGACCGAACUAAGGGCCUUCUCCCUGCCCACCGCCGAGAGUAGGGGGCUCAUCGGUCAGCUGAGGGCACAUACAUUGGCUCCAGUGUCCUAUUUGACAGCUGGAAGGGGUCUCAGCGACCUUGUAGUUAUCCAACCCUGCAGCUGUGCGGAUGAAGAAAUGACAUUCCGAGGAGUCCCGUGAUCUCCCAAGGUUGACUCGGCUGUAUGCCCAGCCUCUGGAAUAACGCCUAGCGUGGGGCGAGCCAUCAGUCAAUGUGUGAUCAAUGAAUGAUACCCAGCCAGGUGGUCGAAGACUCAGGACUCGAUCCGAGGUCCGACUCCCAAUGCACCCCCUUUAACAGAAGAGUAACCAUGUGCCGGGUCGUUUCCCGCCCAAUCCCACGCGUGUUCCAAGACCAGGCCACAGCAUCCCCAAACCCAUAUGCACCCCUGUCCACAGAUUCCAACGAACCGAACGCUUCGCUCUUCCUUACUGAUCUCUAAGAGUCCAUGAUCUCCAGCCCCCAUCCGCACCCCCACCUCGGUUUUCAUUCCGCAGUUCUGCGGACUGUGGGGCUUCCCUGGUGGCUCAGAUGGUAAAGAAUCUGCCUGCAAGGCAGGAGACCCGGUUCGAUCCCUGGGUCAGGCAGAUUCCCUAUGCUGUGGGCAGCAUC
ensembl:lncRNA